CAAGGCCCAAUAUUUCUCUCCUCCUUCCUUGUCGCUGGCAUCGCAUCCCCUCCCUCCAGUCUUCUCCGGGUCGGCCGGCUUCUGCUCCUCCCUCACGAUCCAAACUCCCAACCAAACCCUAGCGGGCGGCGGCGUGUACUCCCUCCGGCGUGCGCAGAGACAGGCGAGGACGCUGGGCAGUGGGCACGGGCGGCUGAGGGGCGCCGGCUAGGAGGAUCGCGGUGGGGCGUCGGCCGCUCGGCUCGUGGUGGGGCCCGCAGCCGGCAGCGCGCCUAGGCGGCUGCGCCGCGGGGUGGCCGGCGGCCCGGCUGCUCGUGCGUUUGAGCGACUGGAAGCCAGCGCCUAUGCUGGCAGCAGCAGUUCUGCAACCUGCAUAGGCACCGAGGGCAGGAGAAGGUCUGACCGAUCGGUGUCUUCAGCAAUCUUCAGCAAGCCAUCAACUUGGAAUCCGAUUGGUGGGAGGUAAUAGCUUGAGGUGGCCAUGUAGGAAGCAGUUGGCUGAAAGUGUGCAUGACUAGUGCAUUAUUUUGUACAUCCUAACUAGAGAUGAAUGCUUUUGUUAAGACUUAAGUUAUGAAUCAUUUUGUAAUGAGUGCAAGCAAACCAUGAGAUGUGAGCUGUUCAACUAGUUCAAGCAUCUAUGCGCUAUGCAUAUAUCUUGAUGGCCAAACCGUACGUAUGCCAUGUAACUUAUCUGUGCAAGUUGUAGAAAAUAACACAAGACAAAUGUUUAUGGAUAUAAUAUAAUUGUGAGCUAUGAUGAACUUCAUUGUCAUGAUUGUGUAUUGUCCAAAAUGGAAUUGGUGAUUUUAUGGCUCA